UUUCCUACGGGACGCAGCAGUGGGGAAUAUUGCACAAUGGGGGAAACCCUGAUGCAGCGACGCCGCUUGAAGGAUGAAGUAUUUCGGUAUGUAAACUUCUAUCAGCAGGGAAGAAAAUGACGGUACCUGACUAAGAAGCCCCGGCUAACUACGUGCCAGCAGCCGCGGUAAUACGUAGUGGGCAAGCGUUAUCCGGAUUUACUGGGUGUAAAGGGAGCGUAGACGGCACGGCUAGUCUGCUGUGAAUACCCGUGGCUCAACCCCGGGACUGCAUU
rnacentral:rRNA from 1 species